CCUCUUGUCACAAAUUGGUUCUGGGGCCCAGGCAGUGGGAGUGACAGUUCUGAGAGACUCCUGGAGAGCCGUGCUCCAUCCUAGCCUCCCACACACCCAGUUGGACCCUGCAUCAGCCUGGCUCCUGCCAUGAAUGGCGGCCUCCUGUGCUGUGUGGCCUUGUGUCUCCUCCAUACAGGUCUGGGGAGGGCCGGCAUCACUCAGACCCCAACAUUCCAGGUCCUGACAACAGGACAGAAGGUGACAUUGAGGUGUACCCAGGACUUGAACCACAACAUUAUGUACUGGUACAGACAGGACCUAGGUCAUGGGCUGAGGCUGAUCCAUAACUCAGUGGGUGUUGGGAUAACUGACAAAGGAGAAGUCCCUGAUGGGUACAGUGUCAGUAGAUCCAAAAAAGAGGAUUUCCCACUCACGCUGGAGGCGGCCACCCCCUCCCAGACGUCUGUGUACUUCUGUGCCAGCAGUGAGUCCACAGUGCUGCACAGCUGCCUCCUCCCUGCACAGAAAGUCAGGGGGAGGCCCAGCACCUGGACUCAGGGAGCCCUGUGCACACUCCUACACCUUGGAGCCCCUGGUGGCUGCUGCCUGUAGGGUGACCCUCUGUGUAUGCUGGGGUCACCCUCUAGGGCAGUGUCUGCCAGGCAGGGACCAAACCCAGGGCCUUGGACACACAGGUGUCCACCUUUGCUGUCUGUCUCUGUGUCCUCUGCAGCUGGUCCUUUAGCUGGUCCCCAGCUCUUGCUUUUCUU